CAAUUUGGGCCAUGUAUAAAGAGCUCAUGUAUCUCUACCAGCUGAGCGACAAUCAAAGAUAGGCAAAGGUCACAGGGCCACCAGCGCAUGUGGUCAUGUCGAACAGUCCACUAUCAUCAUCUUCAUUCCAACACAGCGUGUUCCAUUAAGCAGAAUAUGCAGCCCUUCACGUCGGGGAGCGAGCGGGGCAUGGGUUCAGUUCGUCUGCAUUCAGAGCAUACAGUUGCCGCAGCCCGCAAGGUUCAUUUUAAAGCAAGGAGAGCUAGGCAACACUGAAGAAACAGAAAAUUAAUUUACGGGCGAGGAGGGUGUCAGAUUUAAACCUGCAUCUCCCAAACAAGCCCCACAGCUUCACAUGCGUGAAGACGGUUUGAUUGACACGUCCAGACUGGUGCAAAGGUGUGUG